rnacentral:rRNA from 1 species
GUAACACGUAGUCAACCUGCCCUGGAGACAUGGACAACCCCGGGAAACUGGGAUUAAUCCGUGAUAGGUCAUCUCAUCUGGAAGGAGAGAUGGCUUAAAGGGGUACGCGGGCUUCUUCUGCGUAUCCGCUCCAGGAUGGGACUGCGUCCGAUCAGGCUGUUGGCGGGGUAAUGGCCCACCAAACCUGUAACCGGUACGGGCCUUGAGAGAGGUGGCCCGGAGAUGGACACUGAGAGAAGGGUCCAGGUCCUACGGGGCGCAGCAGGCGCGAAACCUUCGCAAUGCGCGAAAGCGUGACGAGGUUAAUCCGAGUGGCCCCCGCUGAGGGGGUCUUUUGUCAGCUGUAAAUAGGCGGGCGAAUAAGGGGAGGGCAAGCCUGGUGUCAGCCGCCGCGGUAAUACCAGCUCCUCGAGUGGUCGGGGCGAUUAUUGGGCCUAAAGCAUCCGUAGCCGGUUCCGUAGGUCCUCUGUUAAAUCCAACCGCUUAACGGUUGACAUGCAGAGGAUACCGCGGGACU